UACGGAGGGGGCUAGCGUUGUUCGGAAUUACUGGGCGUAAAGCGCACGUAGGCGGCUUUGCAAGUCAGAGGUGAAAGCCCGGGGCUCAACCCCCGGAAUUGCCUUUGAGACUGCAUCGCUAGAAUUGUGGAGAGGUAAGUGGAAUUCCGAGUGUAGAGGUGAAAUUCGUAGAUAUUCGGAAAGAACACCAGUGGCGAAGGCGACUUACUGGACACAUAUUGACGCUGAGGUGCGAAAGCGUGGGGAGCAAACAGG
rnacentral:rRNA from 1 species